ACGCUCGACACCUACGGGAGACAGCAGUGGGGAAUAUUGCACAAUGGGGGAAACCCUGAUGCAGCGACGCCGCGUGGAGGAAGAAGGUCUUCGGAUUGUAAACUCCUGUUGUUGGGGAAAAAGAGGAUGGUACCCAACAAGGAAGUGACGGCUAACUACGUGCCAGCAGCCGACGGUUAAUCUGGAGGCCGGGUCGUGGACGAAGGC
rnacentral:rRNA from 1 species